rnacentral:lncRNA from 1 species
AAGAGCUAUUUUGGUUCCACGUUUUCUCUCUCAACUCCUCCAACUCGCAGGCUGAAUGGCUGCUGCUCUCUUGGAGAGCCGAGAGGAGCGAGGAGCCGGUCUCCACCUCCUUGGGGAGGGUGCCUCAGGCCCCCACCCAGGAUAGGGCCCAGGGCACAGUGCCAUCUCCUCCCACAAAGGCUCUAGGAAGAGGACAGACACAAGGGCCAACGUUCCACACAGCUCAGGCAAGUCUCACCCGAGGGCAGGAGAACGAAGUCAGAGGCCGUGACUGGGGACACCACCCCCCACCCCGACCCGGGGCUCACCAGCCUGGCCCCUCUCCUGCCCCUACUGGGUGACUAAUCUUAUCGCCAUUACACAGAUGAGAAACAGACUCCCAGAGGUAAAGUGGCACCUCCAAAGCUGGAAAGCUGGUGAGACCCAGGGGUUUUACUCGGAUCUCAUGAUGGUCCCCACCGCACUGCCCCAGGAUAGAUGGAAGGCUCAGGAAACAGAACAAAGCGCGAGCGGGAAUAAUCGAGUUCUACAAUACGGGCACUUCUCUAAAGGGAAGCUGCCAUUUUCCAGAUGGGAACCCCCAAGCUUGAGGGAAGGAGGAAACGAGUCACGACAUCCCUUGGAGAAAGAACAAGAGGUGGCUCCUGUGCCCCGUGCACCUGCCUCCUGGGCAGGAGAAGGCGUGCUGGGCGGGCAGCAGAAGGUUCUAGCAAAGGCUCACCACGAUCCCCACAGAACUCCACUCCCACCCUCCCUUCUGCCAUGGAAUUUGUGAUUUCUGGCGCACGCGUGUUACCUGGACUGCUGAGGCAGGUCAACGGCUGUCACCAUGACGACAAAGAAAAGGAAAGGCUGAUGGAGGUGGAACACCUCUGAGGGAGACUGCAAGACACCUUCCCAGGCCCUAACUCCUCCCCAGGAUGGGGAGCCCUCAUGGGGGCAGGGACAGCCUGCUGGAGCCCCCCACGCUGGGGAUGGUGAUGAGAUCGUGAUUAGAGAAGAGCUUAAAAGUUCUCAAACAAGAAGCUGGCCACACUCAUGGCCCUGUGCUGGUCCCUUCCCCUGGUCCACUGGGGGACUCAGCCUGCGGUCCCUGGCAUCUGGGACCUCCCGUGUGGCUAGAGCAUUGACGUGGGCCUGGGACCACCCGCUCUUGAUAAAGCCACCAGCUCUAAGCCUUGGGGAGACCCUCCUUCUCUCCGGGGCCUCUCGUCAUAGGCUCCUCUCCCCGACGCCGCCCCCUGCACCACGUGCAAAACCCCAAAGGAAACUUUGAGAGCCCCCUGGCACAGGGACAAACAGUGCCAGGUGGCCUUGCUCCUUGGACAGACAGGUGUCCACUUCACAAAAGUGCCUAGAAGCCUCCUGGCGCCAAAGCAGCCCAGCCCCAGAUGCUUUUCCUCAGUCCUCUGGGGUCAAUCCCUGUGGGGAGAGGCAUCCCCAAACGAGGCCGACCCUGGGUCAGGAAGGGAGGGAGGCCCCGGGUUCCUCUACUCGGCCUGGGCCAGGGGUGGGCGGGCAGGGCUUUCCCAGCUGGACUUCUGGAGGCCACAAGACCGAGUCAGCACCCAGGGCUCUUCUCAGAGUGUCUCCUGCAGAGCCGUCCCCAGUAGAGGAAAAUGUGGCCACUGGGCCUCGUGGCCCCCUGCCCCGGGCCUUUUCCCCACCAGUGAUGUCUUCAGUCUAUUUAUAGGAACAGUGGGCUGGAACCUGGCCUCGCCUGCUCCCGGCAAAGCUCUGUGGUUGGCCGACGGCAGGAGUUUAUAAAAUAUAGU